GUUUUCAAGGAAACCCAUCUCAAGGUUCAAGAAUUCAAGAUUUUGAAAAUCUUCUUCAAAGCUCAAGUCUUUAAUUCAAGUUUUGGAGCGACUAAGGUACUGAUAUACAGGACGACACAUCUGCUCAGUAGGACAGCAUUCGUAUCAGCUUAUUGGUGAGCCCCAUCUCAUUCGGGGUUUAGUCAACUUUUGUUUUAUGAUUAGUUAUGCAUCUAAGGUAUAUUGGGGGCCUUGUCCCAGUAAGUAUAUUUGCCAGUCAGACUCAUGAUAGAGGUUUCAUAGACUAGACAAGUCAGUUAUGUUAUGUCAGACAUUCGGAGUCGUAUAGCCAUUUUGGCUCAUUCAUGUUAUUUCCGCACUCAUGUUUAAACAAGUAUUUUUAUUAA